rnacentral:rRNA from 1 species
UUAAAACCUUAGAGAUUUAACAUUUAAAAUUUCAAAACUAGAGUAAUCUAUAAAAAGAAUUCACUUAACUUUCAACUAAUUAGGUGCCAGCAGUUGCGGUUAAACCUAAGAUUAACUAAUUACAUCUUUAGAUUAAAUUAUAUUGAUUAUAGUAAUAUAAAUUAACAAAUUGUAAAUAAGUAAAAUUUUUAAAAUUUUGAAAAAUAUUAUAGAUAAUAAUUUAAAUUUCUGUUAAAAACUAGGAUUAGAUACCCUACUAUUAGAAUAAUAAUAACAAAAGUAGUAAAAGAAAAUCUUCAAACUUAAAAAAUUUGGCGGUAACUUAAUCUAACUAGAGGAAUCUGCUCUAUAAUUGACAGUCCACAAUUUGUUUUAUUUUAAUUAUAUAUUUAUAUAUCGCUGUUAAAUAUAAAUUUAUAAAUAAUAUUUUAAAUCUAAUUAAACUCAUCAAAUCAAGUCAACACAUAAUUAUUAAAAACUGAAGUGGAUUACAUUUAAAUUAAGUUAAUAGAAUAAUUUAUCAAAGUUAAUUAAGAAAGAGAAUUUAGAAGUAAAUUAGAAAAAAAAUUUUUGUUAAAUAAGAUAUAAGUUAUGUACAAAUCGCCCGUCAUUCUUAAAUAAAUUAAGACAAGUCGUAACAAAGUAAAAUUACUGGAAAGUAAUAUUAGA